UACGUAGGGUGCAAGCGUUGUCCGGAAUUAUUGGGCGUAAAGAGCGUGUAGGCGGUUCGGUAAGUCUGCUGUGAAAUCCUGGGGCUCAACCCCGGGCGUGCAGCGGAUACUGCCGGGCUAGAGGGUGGUAGAGGCGAGUGGAAUUCCCGGUGUAGCGGUGAAAUGCGCAGAUAUCUGGAGGAACACCGGUGGCGAAGGCGGCAUCCUGGACCGGCAUUGACGCUGAGGCGCGAAAGCUAGGGGAGCAAACGGG
rnacentral:rRNA from 1 species